rnacentral:lncRNA from 1 species
AGCAGGAAGGAGAAAUAUGGCCAAUGAAAAAUAAAAAAAAUAUUUAUAUUUGAUAGGAGUUUUUUAUAAAAAGAGAUAAAAAAUGUUUUUUUAAAAAAUAAGAGUUUUAUAUUACAUAAAAAAAUUGUAUGGGAUAUCAAAAAAAUUAAUUUUAUUUCUGAAAAUUAGGAUAAUUAUUUUUUUAAGAAUACGCUUAAGCUUUUUGAUAGAGUAGAAUAAAAUCUUUCUUUUUAUUAAAAAUAUAAUGGAUAUAUUUUUUAUAAUUUUUCUGAAAAAAAUAGAUGAGUAACUGGAAAUCGGAAUGCACUAUUAUUCUAUGUCAACAAAAUAUGAAAAAACACCGUUCCCAAACAUCAGCUUUCUAUAUGAACUAAACUAGCCCAAAUCUUGAGAAGAAAAGAGUAGUAGGAGGAAAAUAUACUUCAUAAACCAAACUAUCGGAGAAUCAGGAAGUUUGAACUUGAUCUGCUUCAUUUGAGACAAGCUUGUCCUAACCUAAAACAUUGGGACAAGGUUAGCAAUUAUGUUCGAGGUUAAUUUCAUUUAUAUUUACAUUUUUGAGCUAGUUCGUAAACCAUGCGCCUGUAUAGAUUCUACAUAUUUUU